UACGUAGGGGGCGAGCGUUAUCCGGAAUUAUUGGGCGUAAAGAGCUCGUAGGCGGUUUGUCGCGUCUGCCGUGAAAAUCCGGGGCUCAACCCCGGACUUGCAGUGGGUACGGGCAGACUAGAGUGUGGUAGGGGAGACUGGAAUUCCUGGUGUAGCGGUGGAAUGCGCAGAUAUCAGGAGGAACACCGAUGGCGAAGGCAGGUCUCUGGGCCACUACUGACGCUGAGAAGCGAAAGCAUGGGGAGCGAACAGG
rnacentral:rRNA from 1 species